rnacentral:tRNA from 1 species
UCGGCGCUAGUUGGCGUGCGAGCAGCCCUCGCCGCUCUGGGCGUCGUCGAGGGGCCUUACGCGCUGCCGGUGCGAUUCCAGCGUGUCGGCCC